rnacentral:lncRNA from 1 species
CCAGGUGCAUCUCAUACAUGCGCCAAGAAGACAACAUAUAUAAUAACAGAGUGUAUAGAGAUAAAUGUCAAUAACAUCAGAGUAUUUAUUACAUAGCGGAAGACUUAUUACAAAAUAAAAUAAUAAAGAUAAAACGAACUAAGGAUCGUUGGCGCCAAUGUCAACUGAGAAACGCCACCUAGAUCAGAUCAAACUCCUCGCCUUGUGGCUCCUCCUGAACCACCUGUUCUUCUCCUGUGGGGGGGGGGGUGUGAGACAACAAGAGUGAGCUCACAUACGUUCAUCACUCAACAAGUCGUGGGGAAUAAUGUGACAUGAACUCAUCAAAGGUGGGAGCUCAUGGAGUGUAAGGCUUAUCAAAGAGAAUGGUUAAAGCUGAGCAUUGCUUUUAAGUAGUUGGUCAAAAUUUUAUUAGCAAUUACUAAGUGUAAGUAAAUACCAAACCAUAAUAAAAUAAUAGAGAACAAAAUUAAUAAUAAACCCAUGCAAAUGCAAAUGACAAAUUGAGUUUAGGUUCCAUAAUUUAAUCAUCAGAGAGUCAUGAGCUGCUCAUGACCGUGAGCUCGGCUAGUAUACCAGUUUUACACUCUGCAGAGGUUGUACCCUUUACCCACAAGUCAUGUUACCCAUCUGCCAAGAGGUCGCGACUCCCAUACACCUCUACCUAGGAAGCGCGACAGGGCAACACUACGAGGCCUUUACAAAGUUCCACUAGCUUCCGAAAACCCGCUACAGUUUAUAGGAAGCUCCAAUGCAGGGUUCUUGUCUGACCGCCAUCGCAGCAAAAUCAACCAAGGACCUCCCUACACUGACCACUCCCCUACUGCCCUUGCCCCUUUCGGGUAAGGUAGUCUUCCACUAGCUUUCCUAAUUAGUCGGCCAAGGGCGUCCCAUUAAACCCCUGUGGUGGCACGUGUUACUCAAGUUAAGCUCUAUGUUCCAAUUAACAUUAAUGAUCUCAACAUGAACAUAAAUAGAAUAACAAAAAGAAUUGGAACAUAGAGGUAAUAAAUGAUUAUCCCAAAACCAUAUAAAGCAAUAGCAAACUACCCAAGUGAUCCAGGGGUAAACAAGGUAAUGAGAUAAACAAUCUAGGGUGACCUAUUGGGUCCCAUCAAAAUUAACCUAUGCAUGGAUAAGUGAUAUUAAAGAACAUUAUUGGGUACAAAGUGGUCAAGGGCACAACUUGCCUGGCACUUGAGAUUCCAGGUACCAUCUUGUUUUUCAGAUGACACGUGUCCUCGCGCUAGUCGUAGCAAUACAAACAAACAUGGUAUAGAUAAAAUUAACAUCACACCAAACAUAAGAAUAUACUACAUGAUAAUGAUCUACGCGUUUCUACGAGACUAACGCAACUUGAACAGAUCAAAUCGGAGUUAAAAUGAGGAAAUUAUGAAUUUCUAAAGAUUUUAUGUAUUUGAUAUGAGAUUGUUUAGGAGAUCAAUUUUAAUAAGGUUUUCAUGUUAAAAUAGUGUUACUGAGUGAUAAACAAUAUUAAAACAAAAUUAUAGAAAUUGAAAUGGAUCAAUUUGGACUUAAUAUGAAUUUUAUAUGAAUUAAGCAAGUUCUAGCAUUUAUUUUUACACUAGAAAUUCAUUUCCUUACUCAUUUAUUUAAUUCUUCCGAGUUCUGGACUGCACACAUUAAUUCUCGAGAACCUAGGGUUUAACUUGUAAAAUGCCUAGGCUCGGAUAUAAUUACUCUGUGUGGAUUGCGGAUGGCGGGUUGAUAACUAAGAAGUCUAGGGGUUCUUUUGUGAAUCUCGUUUGACGAAAGGGUAUAGGCAAUUCUCCAUCGUUGGAUCCACAACCAAGCGCCCAGAUUAGACCGAGAACUCCAAUGAACGGGUACACAACCACCACCGAGGGAUAAAGAUCCAACGGUGCAGAUUUCAUCCUGCCCUAACUAACCUCAACCACCCGAUCUGGAUCCAACAGUCGCAGGCGAAACGUUAUCUAGAUCAAAUCUCCAUCGCCCACGACGCAUUCAACGACGGGUGAGUGUCUCCUUUCUCUGUCACCUGACUGCGGAAACCAGGACGCGUACCAUGGCGGCGGGUCGCUGGCGCGCACAGGCCCCCGGCCCCUGGUGACCGAACGAUAGUGCUAAAGGAUACUACGCGAAGCGGGUAAUAGCGUGAACAUCAUGGUGGAUGGCUUACCAGUAAUCCAGACGCAGUGACGUAGCACCCGGAUCCGCGGAGACGAUAAACAAGAACGCCCGAACGCCGUCGUGCUUAAGGAGUGCCGCGCCGACGACGUGAGCGACAGCCGAUCCUGGCUGGGGCACAAAUUGAGCAGAGGCUUACGGCCAUAGCAGAUGAGUCCCAAGCGAAAAUCGCCCGCGGCAGAUGAAGUUCUCCGACGCUGUGAGCUCGAUGCCCGUGCCUGGCGGACCAGCUCCCGCGCACGAUUGAUGGCACGGGAUAGUCCUACGGAGUUGCGCACACCUCCCUGGCUCAAUUCCGGUACCCAGACAACGUCGUGGUGGCGUUACUAUGGCACGGCGACGACGACGAUUGCGAAGUCGGGGUAACGAGGAGCGGAGGCUGGGUCUUAUAGCCCUGAGCAAGGAGCUCGGGUACCCGAGGUACGCUUUGACCGGGUUGAUUCCAGAUUUCCCGGGGGGGGGCUUUCAACGGCCACGAAUUCCACGGAGGGGGUCGGCAUCAGCCUGGGGACGAAGGACGGUGCGGUGGAUAUUGUUUGCCAGUGGUCCCACACGUCGGUGGUGACACAAGGCGGUCAGGCCACUGAUAGAGCGGGCCCGCACGGGAGAGCCAAGCGCGCACGAUGCAUAGCGAAGGUGUGGAGCGGCUGUAGGAGAUCACUUUUGGUC